UACGAAGGGGGCUAGCGUUGCUCGGAAUCACUGGGCGUAAAGCGCACGUAGGCGGCUUUUUAAGUCAGGGGUGAAAUCCUGGAGCUCAACUCCAGAACUGCCUUUGAUACUGAGAAGCUUGAGUCCGGGAGAGGUGAGUGGAACUGCGAGUGUAGAGGUGAAAUUCGUAGAUAUUCGCAAGAACACCAGUGGCGAAGGCGGCUCUCUGGUACGUGACUGACGCUGAGACGCGAAAGCGUGGGGAGCAAACAGG
rnacentral:rRNA from 1 species